AUUGAACGCUGGCGGCAUGCUUUACACAUGCAAGUCGAACGGUAACAGGCCGCAAGGUGCUGACGAGUGGCGAACGGGUGAGUAAUGCAUCGGAACGUGCCCAGUCGUGGGGGAUAACGCAGCGAAAGCUGCGCUAAUACCGCAUACGAUCUGUGGAUGAAAGCGGGGGACCUUCGGGCCUCGCGCGAUUGGAGCGGCCGAUGUCAGAUUAGGUAGUUGGGGGGGUAAAGGCUCACAAAGCCGACGCUCUGUAGAUGGUCUGAGAGGACGACCAGACACACUGGGACUGAGACACGGCCCAGACUCCUACGGGAGGCAGCAGUGGGGAAUUUUGAACGAUGGGGGCAACCCUGAUCCAGCAAUGCCGCGUGCAGGAAGAAGGCCUUCGGGUUGUAAACUGCUUUUGUACGGAACGAAAAGGCUCUGGUUAAUACCUGGGGCACAUGACGGUACCGUAAGAAUAAGCACCGGCUAACUACGUGCCAGCCGCCGCAGUAAGAC
rnacentral:rRNA from 1 species